rnacentral:rRNA from 1 species
AACGGGGGGAGCAAGCGUUAUUCAUCAUCACUGGGCGUAAAGGGCGCGUAGACUGUUAAUUUAGUGAGUAAUAGUUUCUAACGAAUUAACUAGAGUGUAUGAAAGGGAUAGGGUACUUUUAAAGUAGAGGUGAUAUUCGACGAUAUUAAUAGGGACCACCAACGGGCGAAAGCGCUAUUCUAGCAUAUAACUGACGUUCAAGAG